AACGAACGCUGGCGGCAGGCCUAACACAUGCAAGUCGAGCGGACCCUUCGGGGUUAGCGGCGGACGGGUGAGUAACGCGUGGGAACGUGCCCUUUGCUUCGGAAUAGCCCUGGGAAACUGGGAGUAAUACCGGAUACGCCCUUUGGGGGAAAGAUUUAUCGGCAAAGGAUCGGCCCGCGUUGGAUUAGGUAGUUGGUGGGGUAACGGCCUACCAAGCCGACGAUCGAUAGCUGGUCUGAGAGGAUGAUCAGCCACACUGGGACUGAGAUACGGCCCAGACUCCUACGGGAGGCAGCAGUGGGGAAUAUUGGACAAUGGGGGCAACCCUGAUCCAGCAAUGCCGCGUGAGUGAUGAAGGCCUUCGGGUUGUAAAGCUCUUUUGCCAGGGACGAUGAUGACGGUACCUGGAGAAUAAGCCCCGGCUAACUUCGUGCCAGCCGCCGCCGUAACAC
rnacentral:rRNA from 1 species